CAAGGUAUUAGGAGGGAAGAGCUGUGCUUUAGUUUGCAAGGGCAAUGUCCGGCCGUUACACUGCAACUACACUGAAACUGAAGUUUAUACUAAUUGGAAAAAAGAAGGCUAAUGCUGGUAAAUUGCAUAGUAAUUGGAGGACCUCAAUUUGCAUUGCAACUAUGCAAGGUAAUAUAAAGCUUACACAUAAGUAAAGGGAUUAGUACAGAGGCAUAACUGUAAAAUUCAGACCAUUACUAGCAGCAACAAUAUGAACGUUUGUGGAAAGGAAAAUUACUUUCCAAAUAAUUGAUAGGUACACUUGAAAUACACGUGAAAUAAAAGGUUACACAUGUUUGAAAAGGGAGAAGGCUAAUGCUGUAUUGCAUGUUAAUAAUACAACAGCAUUGCAGUAAAACUACACAGUGUAGAAUUAUAUAUACAGGGGAAUUUAACAAUUGAGUUGGGCUGAAAUAACAGUAAUGUCAUGAAAGUAUUGAAAUACAGGAGUGCAACAUAUCAACUGUUGAUGGGCAAUUGCCACAUUCUUGUCAUAACCCAUCCUCCAUGAGAUGUGUUCUUUUUCGGUCUCGUUUGUGAAUGUGUCUUGUGCGUUGGCGUGUUUAUGUGUCCUCUUGUCUUCUCUAUGUUUCGGUCUCCCGGGCUAUGGGCGAGGGGGUGUGAAGUCAGUACAGAGGUGAUACCUGUGCCCAGCUGAUAACAAUCAACCAUCACACACUUGAACCUGGCGUGCCAAUCACCAGCAGCAUUUAGGAGCAGUCCUGACGUCUUGCCCCUGGCCGAUCGUUAGUCAAGUUUGAAUAUCCCCCGCCACCAGCUUACCUGGAUCAUUGGACCCGUUCCCUCUCACCACCUGGAUACUCACAUGCACUUCCUUCACUGAGCCCACCUUUUCUCCCCAAGCCUUCCUCAUGCCUAUUCCCCUUUGUCUCUGUUCCAAUAAAUAUUCAUUAUACUGA